ensembl:lncRNA
CACGUGGAGAAGCAGUGUGAGCCAGGGAUGACUUAACAGAUGUGCCACUUGUUGAGGGAAAGGUUUGGUUUGUUGAUGGGUUGAGUUUUACAACAGCAGAGGGACAGACUAAAACAGGUUUUACUGUAGUAGAUGGUGAGAAAGUUAUCUGUGCAGGACAACUAGCAUGUUUCAUAUUUGCUUGAGCAGCAGAGAUAGUAGCUUUAACGGAAGCGUGUAAUGCUGAAGAGAGACAAAAUACACUGAUAGCCAAUAUGCAUUUGCUACAUUACACUUCUUUGUAGUGCAGUGGGUGAGACGAGGUGUGACAACCUCUAUAGGGAAGCCUGUAGAACACGCCAAACUCUUGCAAAAUCUGCUGGAGGCAGUGUUAUUACCCAGUAGAAUUGCCAUUUGUAAAUGUGUAGCACACAUGUGAGGGAAAGAUCCAGUUGCAUUAAGGAAUGCUUUUGCACAUAGGAUCGCAAGAGAGGCAACUUUAGGAAAACAUGGUGUUAAUAUUUUAGCACUGCAACACCAGUAGACGUUGCCUAUUAUGCGAGAUGCACUGGCAGACAUGCAGGCCCACUCACCUACUGCAGGAAAACAGUUGUGACUUACAGAAGGAGCGAGCUUGCAGGAUGGUGUUUAUUAUCUGUGUGAUAAACCAAUACUGUCUUAGAAUUUGUAUAAGACUGCUGCUAUUUUGAGCCAUGGGCUAUGCCAUGUCUCCACAGGGGGGAGAAGAUGAUGGCAGCAGUAGUUUAUACUCUAGGAUUAAAUACCUUUUAAAAAAAAAUUUGCAGGGAGAGAGAACUAAUGGAACAGUAAAGCUAAGACUCAGGAAGUCAAUGGAAGAGACAGGCAGGACAUGGUUAGACUGUGUAGAAUUAGUUAAGAUGUACAUGAGGAUUACUCUAACAGAGAACGGUCUGACUCUUUGAGAUUAUAUAUGUUAGAGCAUUUAGAGUUCUAGUCUUCUGUAGUGAUGAUAGAAGAGCAGAAGAGAGAGCAUAUUAGCAGAUUAGAUGCUUAAAAUGUUUAAAAAUAAAGAAGUCUUGAGAACAAAUGAUCUGCCAGAUGAUUCUGUUUCUCCGCAGGAGCAGAGUCUGAAGUCUGGAGAUUUGAUGUUGAUAAGGCCAUGGAGAGGAAGUGCUGGUCCAGUCCACGGUGGGAAGGUCCCUAUCAGGUGCUGCUGACGACGCUCACAGCAGUGAAGAUUGCUGGAAGAAACACUUGGAUACAUCAAGCGCACUGCAAGAAGGUAACACACUUCCUGGCCGACUCUGGGUGAUGGUGAAAAGGCCAGCGGUACAAAGGAGGGAGUAUAUCUCUAGGACCUCUCGUCUCAAUCCUGGUGAAGAAACCAACGGAUCCAAAACCCAACUUAGAAUGGCUGGGAAUGUGCUGUUCGCCUUCUUGACCCUGUGGACCCCGAGUGGAAUGACAGGGAGCGCAAUGGGACGGAGCAAACCACACCCAGUACCCGCAUGGGUUUUCAACUAACUACUGGUGGCAGUUUAAGAACAAAACCGCUCACAUAAAGAACGAGACCAAUUGUUAUGCUAGUGAUGCCACUGGCUACACAUUCUUCUGGACUGUGGCCAUAUAGCAUCACUGAGAGCGAGACAGUUGUUUGGUUGCCUUAGCAACACAUCCAGGAGUUAAAGUACUUGGAACACUGCCAACUUUUCAACUCCUCUGAACCUGAAUGGAAGGUUGAUUCACCAGUAGCUGGGAAGGUGAACUGCUCUGGUAAGACAGACCUGCUAGUCUGACUCCAAGAAUCUGACUUGCUGCAGGACAUUGAACAGCUAAACAAACUGGAAACAGGCCAGUUGCCUAUGUGUAUGAAGGGCAAUGGAUUAGUCCAAGUUGGAGAUUUACCAUGGAAUUUGUGCAAGAUCACCUAUUCUUUGUGUCCUCUGCAAGAAGGAUAUAGACGAAACUGUCAUUCCAUUAAUGACAGACAGUGACCUGGCAAAGUACAUCCCCAAAGUUGGCGAUAGAGUCUCCACUGUGGCCUUUUGCAGACAAGCAACACUGUCACGGACGUCACCAUCCAGGAAAGAAUCUAUAUUCUCAAGGCUACAACAAAGACUGACAGGAGCUGAGGGAAUGCCUCCUAAAAAGAGAUUGUCUCAGUGGGCAGAAAAUACAAAUGCAAAACGAACAGUGAGACGAAUUGAGGUUGGCUGGAUGCAUUUUGAUGAGGAGAAGGACGGGUUCAAACAGGUGAAGUCUGUAAGUGGUGGUGGAACAAGGCAUUUAUCUGUAGAUAAAAAUGAAACAGUGUCAAAUAUCAAACUUAUGGCUGAAAAUCUUUUUUCCCCAGUGGUAUCUCAAAAAACCCCAAAAGUCUUUGUUGGGAUUCAGAGAUUCUUUUAUUGCUGCCAUAUAACCUGCCUUAUGAUAAAUGCAUUAAGAACAUGUUUUACAGCAUUAUUUUAUCAGUAAUAUUUCUUACAGGGUUCAUAUUGCAUUGAAUAUGUUUGUCAUCACAUUCAUUCUAUUCACAGGUUUAGUUCAUUUUAUACACAUUGCAUAUCUGUGCUUGUUUAGAGUUGAUGUUCCAUCCAAGAGGGUUUUAAGCUUCACUGGUGAGAGUGUCCAGGUGAUACAUGUUGAGGGAAGAUGAGAAAAUAGCAGGUUAAUUGCAUGCAUGCUUACAAUACACAUAUUAAUCUAGUAGCAGGCCUGAGCGAAGGCCCAAGUGUCUUCUGCUUUUCUUUGAGACCUGCUGCAAUUCUGUCUACUUAGUGAUUGGUGACGAGGGUCAAUUAUUAGCCCUUAGAGACCCUGAAGCUUGAAGUUUAUUACCUUAAAAGGCAAGUGUUAUAGAAAAGAGAAGUUACAUGUCUGUUUAUAGUUAUUAGAGAUGUACAAGCUGUACCCUUGUCUGUAAACAAUGACUGUACAUAAUGUAUUUUUGACCUGUGUUGACGUGUAUGUGUGGGCGUUAAUUUUCUAUGCUAUAAAACCAGCAUUCAUUGUAUUUUUGUCAGAGGAAGACAUAUGCUGAUGUUUCUUCUCCGGUGUUAAUAAACUCAUCGUUUGAUUGCACUUGUCUGGUGCCUCCGUCGUUUGUUGUUCUGGUCUCCAAUUGAUUGAUAUCGCACGAUAUCUUCCACACUAUUCAACUCAUAUUGAGAGCUCACAG